CCUACGGGAGGCAGCAGUGGGGAAUAUUGGGCAAUGGGCGCAAGCCUGACCCAGCAAUGCCGCGUGAAGGAAGAAGGCCUUCGGGUUGUAAACUUCUUUCCUGGGGGACGAACAAAUGACGGUACCCCAGGAAUAAGCCACGGCUAACUACGUGCCAGCAGCCGCGGUAACACGUAGGUGGCAAGCGUUAUCCGGAUUUAUUGGGUGUAAAGGGCGUGUAGGCGGGUGUGCAAGUCAGAUGUGAAAACUCAGGGCUCAACCCUGGGCCUGCAUUUGAAACUGUGUUUCUUGAGUGCUGGAGAGGCGAUCAGAAUUCCGUGUGUAGCGGUGAAAUGCGUAGAUAUGCGGAGGAACACCAGUGGCGAAGGCGGAUUGCUGGACAGUAACUGACGCUGAGGCGCGAAAGCGUGGGGAGCAAACAGGAUUAGAUACCCCAGUAGUC
rnacentral:rRNA from 1 species